GACAGAAUGGCCGAGUGGUCUAAGGCGCUGAGUUAAGGCCGCAAUCCGAAAGGGCGUGAAUUCGAACCCCACUUCUGUAA